rnacentral:rRNA from 1 species
CAGUAGCCACGGGAAUACGUAGGUGGCAAGCGUUGUCCGGAUUUAUUGGGCGUAAAGCGAGCGCAGGCGGUUUCUUAAGUCUGAUGUGAAAGCCCCCGGCUCAACCGGGGAGGGUCAUUGGAAACUGGGAGACUUGAGUGCAGAAGAGGAGAGUGGAAUUCCAUGUGUAGCGGUGAAAUGCGUAGAUAUAUGGAGGAACACCAGUGGCGAAGGCGGCUCUCUGGUCUGUAACUGACACUGAGGCUCGAAAGCGUGGGGAGCAAACAGGAUUAGAUACCCCCGUAGUCCCUGUCUCUUAUAC